rnacentral:rRNA from 1 species
AACGAACGCUGGCGGCAUGCCUAACACAUGCAAGUCGAACGAGACCUUCGGGUCUAGUGGCGCACGGGUGCGUAACACGUGGGAAUCUGCCCUCAGGUACGGAAUAACUCAGGGAAACUUGAGCUAAUACCGUAUGAUGUCUUCGGACCAAAGAUUUAUCGCCUGAGGAUGAGCCCGCGUCGGAUUAGCUAGUUGGUGGGGUAAAGGCCUACCAAGGCGACGAUCCGUAGCUGGGCUGAGAGGAUGAUCAGCCACACUGGGACUGAGACACGGCCCAGACUCCUACGGGAGGCAGCAGUGGGGAAUAGUGGACAAUGGGCGAAAGCCUGAGCCAGCAAUGCCGCGUGAGUGAAGAAGGCCUUCGGGUUGUAAAGCUCUUUUACCCGGGAAGAUAAUGACUGUACCGGGAGAAUAAGCCCCGGCUAACUCCGCGCCAGCCGCCGCCGUAAAAC